GUUUAGUUAUUACUGCGUUAGGGAUAGCAAUGGAAAUCCUUUUUUUGAGGUACGAAAAAAAAGAUUGUAAUGAAUAGCCCGACCCUUG
rnacentral:sRNA from 1 species